GUAGUCAUAUGCUUGUCUCAAAGCUUAAGCCAUGCAAGUCUCAGUACGAACUGACUUAAAGUGAAACCGCAAAAGGCUCAGUAAACCGGUCAUAGUUUACCGGAUAUAUGCCACUCACGUGGAUAACUGUGGUAAUUCUAGAGCUAAUACAUGCAAACAAGUCCCGACCAGCGAUGGAGAGGACGCUUUUAUUGGAUCAAAACCUUUCGCCCGGCCAGCCCGGGCGUCAGCUUGAUGACUCUAGAUAACACCACAGAUCGCACGGUCACAGUACCGGUGACAUAUCCUUCAAAUGUCUGACUUAUC
rnacentral:rRNA from 1 species